rnacentral:rRNA from 1 species
AUUGAACGCUGGCGGCAUGCCUAACACAUGCAAGUCGAACGGCAGCACAGUUAGAUCUUGCUGUUACCGAUUGGCGAAGGCGGAAGUAAUACGUAUACAACGGUCCCUUCUUUUUGGUGGGAGUUCAGGAAGCGAGAUUUAUGCCAAUUACGCACUACGGAUGCAAGUGGAGGCAGUUGAUGUUUUGACCUCGCGGGUUUGCACGUGCCGAUGUCGGAUUAGCUAGUUGUAGGGGUAAAGGCCCACCAAGUCGACGAUCCGUAGCUGGUCUGAGAGGAUGAUCAGCCACACUGGAACUGAGACACGGUCCAGACUCCUACGGGAGGCAGCAGUGGGGAAUAUUGGACAAUGGGCGCAAGCCUGAUCCAGCCAUACCGCGUGGGUGAAGAAGGCCUUCGGGUUGUAAAGCCCUUUUGUUGGGAAAGAAAAGCAGCAGGUUAAUACCCCGCUGUUCUGACGGUACCCAAAGAAUAAGCACCGGCUAACUUCGUG